rnacentral:rRNA from 1 species
ACUUAAAUUGAAGAGUUUGAUCAUGGCUCAGAUUGAACGCUGGCGGCAGGCCUAACACAUGCAAGUCGAGCGGUAGCACAGAGAGCUUGCUCUCGGGUGACGAGCGGCGGACGGGUGAGUAAUGUCUGGGAAACUGCCUGAUGGAGGGGGAUAACUACUGGAAACGGUAGCUAAUACCGCAUAAUGUCGCAAGACCAAAGUGGGGGACCUUCGGGCCUCAUGCCAUCAGAUGUGCCCAGAUGGGAUUAGCUAGUAGGUGGGGUAACGGCUCACCUAGGCGACGAUC